rnacentral:rRNA from 1 species
GAUGAACGCUGGCGGCGUGCCUAAUACAUGCAAGUCGAGCGAAGCGGGGACGGGUGAGUAACACGUGGAUAACCUCCUAUAAGACUGGGAUAACUUCGGGAAACCGGAGCUAAACCGGCUACUUAUAGAUGGAUCCGCGCUGCAUUAGCUAGUUGGUAAGGUAACGGAUUACCAAGGCAACGAUGCAUAGCCGACCUGGGGGGGGGUCCGGCCAAAUUGGACCUGAGAACGGGUCCAGCUCCCUACGGGAGGCAGCAUGGGGGAAUCUUCCGCAAGGGGCGAAGGCCUGACGGAGCAACGCCGCGGGAGGGAUGAAGGUCUUCGGUUCGUAAAACUCUGUUAUUAGGGAAGCGGUACCUAAUCAGAAAGCCCCGGCUAACUACGGGCCAGCAGCGCGGUAAUAC